UGGUCGUUGCUCUACGCAGACAUGGACCCGUAAUGAUCCCAAUUAUCGUGUGUGCGUAGUUGCAAUGACCU
rnacentral:pre_miRNA from 1 species